rnacentral:rRNA from 1 species
CCUACGGGCGGCACCAGUAGGGAAUCUUCGGCAAUGGACGAAAGUCUGACCGAGCAACGCCGCGUGAGUGAAGAAGGUUUUCGGAUCGUAAAACUCUGUUGUUAGAGAAGAACAAGUAGGAGAGUAACUGCUCUUACCUUGACGGUAUCUAACCAGAAAGCCACGGCUAACUACGUGCCAGCAGCCGCGGUAAUACGUAGGUGGCAAGCGUUGUCCGGAUUUAUUGGGCGUAAAGCGAGCGCAGGCGGUCUUUUAAGUCUGAUGUGAAAGCCCUCGGCUCAACCGAGGAAGGUCAUUGGAAACUGGAGGACUUGAGUGCAGAAGAGGAGAGUGGAAUUCCAUGUGUAGCGGUGAAAUGCGUAGAUAUAUGGAGGAACACCAGUGGCGAAGGCGACUCUCUGGUCUGUAACUGACGCUGAGGCUCGAAAGCGUGGGGAGCAAACAGGAUUAGAUACCCGAGU